AUUGAACGCUGGCGGCAGGCCUAACACAUGCAAGUCGAACGGUAACAGGAAGAAGCUUGCUUCUUUGCUGACGAGUGGCGGACGGGUGGGUAAUGUCUGGGAAACUGCCUGAUGGAGGGGGAUAACUACUGGAAACGGUAGCUAAUACCGCAUAACGUCGCAAGACCAAAGAGGGGGACCUUCGGGCCUCUUGCCAUCGGAUGUGCCCAGAUGGGAUUAGCUAGUAGGUGGGGUAACGGCUCACCUAGGCGACGAUCCCUAGCUGGUCUGAGAGGAUGACCAGCCACACUGGAACUGAGACACGGUCCAGACUCCUACGGGAGGCAGCAGUGGGGAAUAUUGCACAAUGGGCGCAAGCCUGAUGCAGCCAUGCCGCGUGUAUGAAGAAGGCCUUCGGGUUGUAAAGUACUUUCAGCGGGGAGGAAGGGAGUAAAGUUAACACCUUUGCUCAUUGACGUUACCCGCAGAAGAAGCACCGGCUAACUCCGUG
rnacentral:rRNA from 1 species